GGUCAUGUUAUGGAUGAAUGUAUGGGUCUUCCAAAAGAAAAACAAGGGGAGUUUGAUGAGCUCCCUACACCUGUGGCUCAAGAAGUAGAGUUUAUUUUCAUCAGGCUGAACGUUUUACGGGAGUACCUCGAGCGUGAAUUGAGAAUGGAAGGCCUUCCUUUCCCGUAUAGCUUUG